UCAUUUGCAAUUGUUAUAACCACCUGCAGGGUUUCAAACACUUGAUGCUCUUUUACAUACUUGUUGGAUAAAACUUUUUUUUUGUUCCAUUCAGAAUUCAUGCUUUCAAAAACAAAAUGAGAAGAAAGGGCAACCACCCAAACAGAGAAUUCAAAGGACUUUAUAUGAAAACACACAGUAUAUUUCAUCUCUGCAAGUUAAAAUAGCCACUCCAGCCUCUCUGGUUUUUGGUACCAAUAGGAUGAAAGAAACCGGAGCCUGCUUUUUUGCAUGUGAUUCUAUUCAGGGAGAGGGGAAGUUCAGCUAGCAUAACACCAUGGAACCUCCUCCAUGCAAACUCUGCCCGCCCAUGCAUAUGAUUAGAGAUUCAUUUUCUUUAAUAUCAGCCCCCUGCAAAUCCACCGAAAUUAAGAAUGAUUAGUUACACAGAUUUCUGCUUCAUGUAAUUAACCAGCCCUCCAGGGGUUGGUGAUCAGGCCCAGCCAUGACCAGAGGAGCCCGUCAGCAACACUUAUGCUGAUGUGAGAACAAGUGGUGCCUGGGAAGUAGCUGAGACACACUGCUCCUCUGAGGAUGCCUCAAGAUGGCAAAAAUUGGCAGAGCAAUAAAUAAAGAAGACGACAAGGCAGCCAUACAGAAUGAUCUCAACGAUUUGAAUUCUAAAGAAAAACAAGUUAAGUGCUUCUGGCUGUAGACAGAACGAAGUACAUAAGCAUCUGGAAAAGUGAACGACAUCUGUGUCGCCAUGUACAAAGAAGCCAGUACAUUGCAGAUGAUAUGCUCUACAAUUUGCAAAGGAAGGGCUAACUGACAUGGUACUUAAAAUGCUGGUAGCUUGCCUACACUAAGGCUCUCUAGGUUGUUCCUUCUAGUGUUAACAAGUCUGAGAAAUGUUACAAAAUUUCCCUAGUGCAGAUAAGGCUUGAUUUUUAAAUUGGUGUCCCUUUAAAUUCUUGGAGAUAGCACAGCACUUGCAUUAAAAAAAUUGAACGAAGAAGUCAUUUAAAAGCCUCCUGCUUUCAGUCACAACACAUUGCAACAAACUGCAAAUCUGGUGUAAGAGUUAAAUCAAUAAUGAAUCCAAUCUGAAACAGUUUUGAAAUCAAAGGAAUUGCAUAGUUAAAUCAUGAACAGAGGGGCUAUGUAAAAAUGGUAGUUUUCUUACUCCACAGAUUUGUGCAUUGUGUGUAGCCUGAAUAACAUCUGCUCACUAUAUACUGGCAAAAGUGAUCACUACUUCCUCCUUACUCACUCCACUAUUAACUAUAUUGGCUGUGCAGUGAUAUGGGAGCAUCAGCUGGAUUCUACUCUGUUUCAUGCAUCAGAAUUAAAUCCAUUCCCAUUUCAGAAUUUUAAUACUGCUGACGAGCCAAAAAGUUCCAGCUGAACUUUCAAAACCUGGUUUGCAGGGCUGGCCAAACAUCAAUUAUUUUCAUUUGUAAGUUAACAAAUUUGUAACUGAUAACAUGGAAUAUCACAAUGCCAUUUUCAGAAAAACAUUUUUAAAACUGUAAUCAGCCUUGAAAGUUCCAUUAAUGCAUUUUUCCCCAUUUAAAACCAUAAAGAAUGUUUUAUCAUAGUCUCUUGCAAUGCACAUGGAAUGAAAUUAGACAAAUUAUCAGGUAGAAAACCAAGCUCCAUUGGGCUGCAGAAAGACUCUAGGCCCCAUUCCUUUUCACUUUCAAAUGGAGUAUUUGUACUGACAAUAAAUCCUUACUCAAAGACUUCACCUGAAGUCCUGGCCCCAGUGAGAUCAAUGGUAAAACUCACACUGACUGCAACUGGACCAGAAUUUCACAGAGAUUGGUAUUUUAGAACAAGUGAGGUCAUAAAUAUGUUAUAAAAAUAAAUAAGGGUCUGGCUUGCACCAUAGCUGCUGCAUUGCAGUAACAAGAUCUUCCUGAUCCUGUUCAGACCAGCUUCAGUUGGGGCCAAUAUCAAAACGCUUGCCCAGAUCUGGAGGAUAUGGGGCUCAGGGCAAAAUAGCAGUACAAUCAUAUCAUCGUUCCAGGUCGGAAAGGAAGAUUUAUACAAUGUCUUAGAUUUCAGUUUUAAAAGUAAAUUUCUGGUGAUUAGCUGACCUGGACAUUUCAUAACAGGAUUUCAUAGAGUCUGCGAGUUCUUGUGACAGAGCAUAUACUGAAUCUCUGUGUGGUACGUAAAACACAGCUAGAUUUGGAAGCAAAUAAAUUGUUUAACGAGUCUAAAAUCCCACAAGGCAUCUGACCAAUUUGCCUAAAUUUGCAUUCCACACCACAACGUAUUAUAGUAAUGUAAGUUUAACCAUACUGUCUGGAAAUCAAUGCUGUAAAGGAUCAAGAGACAGUUUCACUUACUGGAAAUAAGAGUGCAGCCAAAGUUGUUUCUGUGCAGUUUGUAUACUGUAUGGAAGAGAGCCACCAGCUCAAAAGAAAAAGAAACAACAUUAUAAACACUGGUAUUUGAUUUUUGAAAGACAUUUUGAAAACAGUCCAAAAAUACAUUCUCAGUAAAUAGUGAGGGGGUAGGAGAAUACAUUAGCUCCAUUUUCAUCUCAUAAAAUGUUCCUUUGAAAAACAAAUCAGAAGCCUCCUGUGAUACUAAAUGGUUUGUCUUGUCAGAAAGAAAAACCUUAACACAAAUCCCCAAACAUUAAGUAACCAAUUUA